AGGGAAGGGAGAAGGACUAAAGGCAUGAAACCGGUCUCUCCCCAGAAACGAUGUCGUUUGUUGCAAAAAAGCAGAUAAACCGAGAAAACUGCGUAUGCGGUUGUCUUGCUAUUAAACCGGGCAGUGUGUACUGCAUGCGCGGUUUAGGCUUUCAUGAAUAAAGAAAAAAAUGUUGUGACAUUUUUUAUAUUAUGUAUGGGUAUAUCAGCUUUAAAAUUAGACGUUAAGUACUGCUACAUAAUGCAAGGACAAAAUCGGCUGGUUCACAACGUCGUAAGUCCGAAAAAUGAUACGAUAUUUUCGGUUUUUACUGUAUAAUCCAUUGUUAACCAAAGAUGGCAACGCAUGUGAAUUGAUUGAAUGAAAAAGAGUAAAAAAAUCAAAGAGUAAAAAAAGAAAAGAAAAAUAGAAGAAAUGAAAUACUGCAAUAGUUGAUUGAAUUCAAUUUGAUUUUAUAUUGUAAGACCAGUUUAGAAAUAAAUUUUAUAUGCAAUAAAUUUGCUUGAUCUUCCGUACUUUCGUAAAGGUUUAUGACAAUUGAAUGUCUAUGGAAAAAUUUAAUUAACCAUGUAUUAUUUCAAAAUGUUAUAUUAUUAACACUGAUUGUAUUCAGCUGGUAUGAACCAUAUGCUGGUUCCUAAAAUUAAGAUAUCUCUAAGUUUGAAAAUUUAAAUCACAAAUGUGUAUGGUGAAUGAUUGUUGAUGUCUUAGACGUGAUGGCUCCGAGAAAUUCAAUUAAACGAGAAAUGGAUGACCUCUCCUCCGACUGUUCCUCCGACUCAUUCCGAAAGUCGAGUAAGCGU